CCAGGCCGUUAUUCUUUCAAUAUAGAGUCAGAGUUGUUGUUGUUUUUAGAGCUUUAAAGUUAUUUUUCACGUACAGUUUCCACGUUCAAACAACCAGGAUCAUCAUAGCUAACUAAAACAACACUGAAACCAAGUAUAGAACUUUUUGCAGUUUUCACAGCAGUUCACGCCAAGGUCACACCCUGUAAUGCUCAGAGACAGUG